GCAACCAGCACUACCCGAGAGCCUUGGGCCUCGGGGGAGAUGUCAUGUGGGUGCACGGGGCCUGGGUCCCGGUCCCUGCUCUGCUCCUCACUGUUUGACUGACCUUGAUGGGAUCCUGAACGUCUCAGAGGCUGCUCCCCUGUGACAUGGACCCUGGCGACCUGUACACCUGCGUCACCAGGGUUGCUCUGCAGGUCAAAAGAGACAAUGUGGGUGAAGCAGUCCCCUGGCGUCGGGUACCUUUUGUCGGAACUGCUGGGAGCUCUGUGGCCCAGGCCCACCCCAGCUUACUUGCUGACCUUGGCCUCGCCUUCUCUGAGUUUCAGUCUCCCUAUAAAAUUGGAGAUCCCACAGAGAUCUCAGACCCCUGCAGCCCCUGGUCAGCCCAGGGGAACAGACCCCAUGUUUCUUCCCAGCAACACUGCCCACUCAGCGAGGAAGCAGCCACGACGCCCACACUUCCUGCUGGAGCCUGCGCAGAGCCAGAGGUCCCUGGGGUGCGGCACCAUGGGCAGGCAGGGGGAGAUGGUCGGGUCCCCAAAGGCAGCCGGCACCUCCAUCUGGGGCCUGUGUUUUGGCAGCCCUGGGGUGGGUGGCCCCCUUUCCUUCUUGUUCUUUGGUCCCAGAGGAGGGUCCUGCGGCCUGACCAGGCUCUUGCCUUCCCUGUGCUCAGGCCUCAGAAGCCACAGGAACAUGGCCUAGGCAUGGCUCAGCCAGCAGCCCCCUCCCUGACGCGGCCCUUCCUGGCAGAGGCCCCGACAGCACUGGUCCCACACAGCCCCCUGCCAAGCACCCCUGGCCUGAAGCAGCCCCCGACGGCAAGCACAGGCCCGGAGCUGCUGCUGCUGCCUCCUUCCUCCUUCAUGUCCUGCGGGGCGGCUGCACCAGCCAGGGUACGUCCUCCACCACCAGGCCUGGGCACUGGGGCUCUCACUCUGGUCUGGCUUCUGGUGCUCUUUCUCAUGCCACAGCUGUACUUGUUUCUGGAAAACCUUGGCACAGGGAGGCCACUCAUCCAUUUGACAAGCAUAGGUAGCCACUGCACACCAGGUCCAAGGGCCACAGCAGUGAACAGCCAGCCAAGGGCCCUGCCAUCCUGAAGCUUAUAUUCUAGUCAGAGACAAAGGAAAACGCCUGCCUGCAGGCCAGUAGAGUGGCUGCAGAUCACAUAGGGUCCUGCAGGCCACAGUGAGGAGUAGCCUGGGAUUUGAGAAAAGCAGGAAGUCGGGGAAGGGUUUUGGCAGGGAGCACCAUGUCAGGUUUCUGUGCAGGCUGUGGUCACCAUGACCACGUGGUCCAGGCAAGCAGUACUGGUGGCCUGGGCUCAGCGGUUGCCACAGAGGGGACAGGUACUCUCUUGGAGGCAGACGAGGCAGGAUAUGCUCUGAGGGAGUUGCUGAGUGAGGGGAAAGAAGGAAUCCAGGCUGAUGUGGGCUGCUGGCUUGAAUAACUUGGGAAACGGAGUUCUUUGACUGGAAGAAGGAAGUGGGGGUGGGGACUGGUUUGGGGUGAAGUGUCAAGAGUGUUUUGAACCAGGCUCUUGAUGUCAAACUUGAGAGAAAGCAAAUGUUGAGUCUGACCUUCAAGGAAGAGGUCAGGGCCAGAGAUUCAGAAGAAUCUUCAGCACAGGCCGAAGGUAACCCCAGAGCCACUGCGGCCUCUAGGAGGAGAGUACAGGGGAAGGAGAGAGGCGAUGAGGCUCCAAGCGGGGAGCCUGAGUGGGGAUGGCCAGGGGGUGUGAGAGCUCAGUAAUGGAAGUGACAGCUGCUCUAAGGCCACCAAAGCAGCUGGUUCCUGAAAGGGGAUGAGGGGACAGGAAGGAACCAGUUCCUGUGGUGAGUUAGGCCAUGUGGGGCCACUUACCCUGGCUGGAAUGGUUUGAAUGUGGGUUUGAAAGGGUUUUGACCCCUGUCCGGUGAUGGAAGAGGCAAGUCCACUCUCACCAGGAGAGGAGGGUACGGAGAAGGCUGUAGAGCAGUGGCCUCUCACCACUUCUCACUGAUGUGGAAGCUCAGCAAGGUCAUGAGCUUAGAGCAAGGUGGGGGUGGAGGGUUGGGUAAGGCAAGGCUAGGAACAGCUGCUCAGGCAGUGGAGGCACGAGGCGGACUGUGGUAACACGGGGUGCUCCCUGGUUGUUUGUGGGACUUUCCCCUACAGUACCAGGCCCUGUGGUGCAGGGGCAGGCUAGACACUGAGCUGGCACGGCCAGUGCCUGGGAAGGCCAGCUCCUGCAGCUGGGGGCCUGGUCUUCCCCCACCUCUGCAGGGCAGGCAGUGACAAGGACUUGGUGUCCCCCUCCCCAGCUUCCUCUUAGCUUCCUUGCUCAGCAUCCAUCCUUCUUUCCUUUGCAGUUGUCAGCACAGCCGGCUACUCCUAGGGAUAAGCCCCCGGUCCCCUCAUCCCUGGCCAGUGUCCCUGACCCCCAUCUACUCCUUCCUGGGGACUUCUCAGCCACCAGGGCUGGGCCUGGACUUUCAACUGCAGGCAGCCUGGACCUUGAGGCUGAACUUGAGGAGAUCCAGCAGCAACUACUGCACUACCAGACCACCAAGCAGAACCUCUGGUCCUGCCGACGGCAAGCGAACAGCCUGCGCAGGUGGCUGCAGCUGAGCAGAGAGGAGCCGGGGUCUGAGGACCAGGAAGUAGAGCAGCAGGUGCAGAAAGAGCUGGAACAGGUGAGGCCCCAGGCCAUCCCCAGGUGUCCCUGGGGAUGCCCCGGGCUGUGCUCCCUCUCAGCCCUGCCUGUCCCUCCCUGGCCCCAGGUGGAAAUGCAGAUCCAGCUGCUGGCAGAGGAGCUCCAGGCUCAGCGCCAGCCCAUUGGCACCUGCGUUGCCCGCAUCCAGGCCCUGCGGCAGGCCCUGUGCUAGCGUGUUCGCCCCAGGAACGCAGGUGCUGGGCUGUCGGGGAGGCCUCAGGCCACAUCCAGAACAGAACACAAAGUUUUAAGUUUGAUUUUUUUAUUUCAAAAUGUUUUGCAAUUAAAUGAAUUACUGUUC
rnacentral:sRNA from 1 species